ACUCCUACGGGAGGCAGCAGUGGGGAAUAUUGGACAAUGGGGGAAACCCUGAUCCAGCCAUGCCGCGUGUGUGAAGAAGGUCUUCGGAUUGUAAAGCACUUUAAGUUGGGAGGAAGGGCUUCAGGUUAAUACCUUGAAGUCUUGACGUUACCAACAGAAUAAGCACCGGCUAACUCUGUGCCAGCAGCCGCGGUAAU
rnacentral:rRNA from 1 species